UGUUAGAAGGAGAUGUUAGUAAAAGCUCUUUCCAGUAAUUAAAGUAAUAUCAUGACAAAUAGUUCUAAAAUUCUAUGAAUGAACUUGCAGCAGUAAUUUAGUGAUUAUGAUAACAGUUUAAAUGACUCUUGGGUGAGGUAUGGAGGGAUGGGUUGUUUCAAACCAUAACUUUUUGCAGUUUUUUUAUUGUUUUUUGAUUAAGUAUUUAACAAUAACUUAGCCUAAGUUAAUCUACUUGUAACUUUUUAUAAAAGUAACUAUAAAAAUAAUGUGGUGUAAUUAUUUCCUUAAACCUUUAGGUUAACUAACUUUCUAAAAUUGGAGAUAAAACCAUUAAGAUAAAUACAAAAAAUGUGAUGCAAAGGCUGGACAUCAAUCCCUCUUCUUUUAGCCUUCUACAAAUGGUCCGGUCUGACACAACAAUUACAGCUUUAUGGAUAAGCUUAGUCAAUAAGUUUAGUGGCUUUUUUUCUGUUUUCCAGGCAGAUAAAUCUGAUUAUACUGUCCGCUCUUGGUGGUUUCUUGCGUUUAGAAAGUGGUCUCCUUAGA